GAAAGCAUGGCGAACGAAACUGUAUGCUAGUGAAGGUUGAAAAAAUGUUGAAAAAGAAAUCCAGAAUGAAAAUAGUUAAAGGAAAAUACUUAAAACGUACAACUCCUGAGAAAUUAGCAAUUAGCUAGCCCGUGGUUUAUUCCGUUUCUCACCUCUUUUUUUCCUCUUAUUGAGAGCGUUAAUUCCUGCAUUGGUUUGUGAUUUUUCUUUAAAAAAAAAAAAAAAAAGCUUUCUUGAACUCUUGGUCGAAUAUAGUUCCAAUCUUUGUAAUUUUCUAUACCCUUUUUUUUCUCUCUCUGAGCGUUUUGGAUGUGCUCCUUAAUAUAUACAUUGUUGACAAGGAAAAUUAAUACCUGUCAUUUUCUUUUGACGUAGACGUGUGUGUAGUUUUAGGCUGCAUUUCAGAAUUUUGACGAAUGCAUGCUUUUUUCAGGAUAUAAAUACAUUCUACCUGUACCCGUAGGGAAGAAUAAUUGGAAGGGAUCUUCGAGGUCAUCUAAACCAACCCUCUUGGCCAGGGCAAUAGAUUGGAAAAGUUUGAAUAUUUUCUUCAUCUCUGCCUCUGGAAAGUCUGUUGCUCUUUGGAUCUUAACAAGAAGAUGUUAAAAUCUCUUCCAGCGUUGGAAGGUCCUGCUUGAUGAUGCUCGGGGUUCCUUGCGAUCCUGAUUCUCCUGAGCAGCUCUUUGACGGGCUUGGCUGCUCUAAGCUCCUGUUUUCUCCAGCAAACAUCCUCUUCCGAUGUGGUCUGUGGUAUUCGGUCAAGUCUUGCUUGAAAUAUCUUAAAUUACAGCCUUUUCUCCCGGCUUCCCAUGGGAAGCCGCCGUCCCGAGGACUAAGAGCUGUAACUGUCAAGCUGUCUUUUUCUAAAACGUUCCUCUCAUGCCUCCCUUUGCUUAAUUUCAUUUCAUCGCUUGACCGUUCGGCUUUUCAUUCCACUCUUGGGAAAAGCAUCCAUUUUCUCCACCAUCUCCAGAGCUGAAUCCCUUAAUAUCUAUUCGGCUGUUUCAACUGAGCUGUUGAACACUGCAUCAUCUUGGCGGGUUCCUAAUGCUGGUUUACCAUCGCUUGAAAAAUAAAAACGCUCUCCUGUAAGUUGGUUUCAU